GAAAACAUCAUCAAAUGAAUGGCGCACGAAUCUUGAAGCCCUUUUAUACCGUUUACGAUUCGUGCAGGCAAUCCCACAGAACCAAAACGCUUUCAAAGAAGUGCCUGCGUUGGCUGCUGUCACGUCCAAUGCAAUACGAUCGUUCAACGAUGUGCUUUUAGCUUCGUCUUAAAUGGUGUGUUUCUCGUGACGAGAGAAGAGGAAGAUAACAUCUUCUUCAACAUUAGGCACGCUAUGGGGGGAGCAAGCGGUUCUUACAAACACAUGGUAAGAUUCAUUACCAUCUCCGUCGUAAAAGAGUGCAACGUGAAGUCAAGAAACCAAACGAACACAUGGACGGACACAAGACGCAGUAAGAAGUCUCCACCGCUCGGCUUAUGCCGGAGGUUUCGGUUUGCGAUCGCGCCGCUGCUCCGUCCGCUGUGCUGCCCACGUCCCUCUCCCUCUUCGGCGAAGAACACAAAAAGACGAGGAAAAAGAGAGAGAAGAUUUAGUUUGUGUUGAAGGGAAGGAAGACACGACAGUAGUCAUGCUCAAAGCGAAGGAUUAGAGGUGGCAGCCGCAGCAGAGGUAGAAGCAGCAGAGGGCGCCCACGAGGAGGACGGCCUCGAGGCAGUAGAGGAUGCGGAAGAGGAGGUCGUCGAGGAAGGAGAAGCGGAGGUUGGGGCGCUUCCACCGCCAGCAGUUGGCGAAGCGGAGCUUCCACGGCCAGCGGCAUCCCCUACCGCCGUUCAGCUUCCGGAGCCAACUUCCUCCUCCGGGCUCGGCCGCCAUCCUCCCCUUUCGCAACAAGCAGCGGUGGAUCUCUCUUCCCCUUUUCACCGUGACCGAGGAAUCGCAAAGUGGAUGGGAGGCAGGACGGCGUCCAGGAGUUGUUGGGGGCGGGAGUCUAUUUAGAGGAAGAGGAGCAGAGGAUGCG
rnacentral:lncRNA from 1 species